GCGAAAGUGGCGGAAUUGGUAGACGCACUGGAUUUAGGUUCCAGCGCCGCAAGGCGUGCGAGUUCGAGUCUCGCCUUUCGCACCA
rnacentral:tRNA from 1 species